rnacentral:lncRNA from 1 species
AUAACUUGAAAUAAAAGCAUUUAUAAAUGAAUAAGUUUAUCGAAAAUGAAUAAAAGUUAAAGUAUAGCCUAAUAAAAAAAAAAAGUUGAAAUAAUCAUUAUUUGAUAAGAAUUACUUGACAUGUUUACAUUAAUGGUCAUUCACCUAUGUACUUAAUCACACCAGGUUAUUGAGGUCAACAGAAACUGUUGAAAUGUCUUGUUUAUCAGUUUGGCAUUUUAUAGUAAAAGGAUUUCAGUUUAAAAGUGAAUAUGAUCGAGGAAAUAAUAAAAUAAGUUUUCAAUUCAUACAAUAUAUUAUAUGAUUAACGGAGGGAUGAUAGUUGGAUAUUAAAACAAUAAAUAACAGUAUGUAUCAUCGAACACAUUAAAAUUAACUACUUGAUAAAUCUCAUCUUUGUAAGAAUAAUACUAUAUAAUUCAAUUAAUAUUAUGAUUUACUUAUUUCAAAAGACUGCAUAACUAUGUUUAUAAUAUUUUCAACAUGGCGAUUACAUUUAAAUCGGAUUAUUGACAAGUCUAAACUUGAUUAUGACACAGACAAGUUAACGAACGCUUUCAGUGAUUUAGCAAUUAUAUUAAAAAUUCAAAUACUUAAAAAAAAAAAAAAUCACACCAAAAAUAUUAAGAUACAUUAUACUAAAUAGUGCCAAUAAUAUAACGAUUUAAUGAUUUCAAAAGAUCGACGCGAUUUUUCAAUAUGGCGGAUUUAUUGACACGUAUCAACAUGUUAAAGGUCACUACGUACAAUACUGGACAAGUUUAAACACGCUUUCAAUAUUGAUUUAAUAAUCAUGUUAUCAGAGAUAAAUAGCCGUAGGUGAAUAUGUAAUACCAGAGACAUUUAAUAAUGAUCUGUAAAUACACACUAAGGUGGGGUUUUCCUGUGUAUCUAUUUAUAGACUGGGAAUUUUCAUCAAAUAUAAAGAAAAUAUAUAUUUAUACUUAUUCAAUAACGCCAAUUAAUUAGCCGUAAUUAGUAGCACUUUAUCUUCCAAAGUAAUUAAUUUAAUUAAUUAAUGUCAUAAUACUUAAAUUGACGUCAUUAAAAUUAGCCUCACAUCGGGAGGCUACCUCUUAGGAGGCUACCUUUUCCCCAUAGGGUUAACAUUAGACAAAAGUCGCCAGAACCGGUAGUUUCCCCACUACUAAUUAAUU